rnacentral:lncRNA from 1 species
CGACAAGACAUUGCCAUGCCACACUUUGAGUUUAAAUGCACAUGACGCUUUUAUUCUUCAAAACAAAAAGAUGUGAUCUUGCUGAGGUUCAAACCUAAAACCUUAGAGAGGUUUGACUUUCAAUGGAUCAGCCCCAUGAAAACGCCCAUAAAUCCCUAAAAUAAAGGAAGAAAAACGACGUAUAUCUUGAAGACGUACGGAGCAGAAGAAUCCUUCUUUGCACUAAUGGUGUUCGACGCAAUGCCCUAAUCGAGGGGUCCAUCAGCAUUUAGAACUGUCAUUUAAGGCCCCUCUCCCAACGGCUCUGCACGCCCCUUGAAACAUUGUCCGUUCCGUUUGCAAAAGCAGCUGUGUCCUCUUAGGCUCCACACAAUGGCAAUUAUACAGAUAUUUACCUGCUCAACCCUUUGAAUUUAUGUCUGUCACUGGUUAAUGCUUAAGAUUUGAGCUGGCAGAUGGGUUGAUGAAUGUUUGAAUAUGGAAGUAGUUUCCACAUUCAUUGGCAUGAGUUUUUCAGUAUAACUAAGGAUUAAACAUGGCCAGCUGCCUCUUAUCAGACCCUCUAGCUGAUUGCUUCAAGCAAAUGUUGUUAUUAUAGCAAAAGAAAACCUACUUUUUCCUAUUCUCAAUUAUUGUAGGGAUUAGAAUUUGCAGUAAAUAGUGAUAAAAUUAUUGAUUUGGAACCUACCUGGCCUGUUCCUCUUUUUUUAACAAAAAGUUCUGAACAUAACCAAAAUUAUGAAUAUGUAGAAUUCAUAUAUCCCAGACAGAUUAUUAUACAUGUUGGCCGACAUCAAUUAGCCUAGACUUAGAAACCCAUCGCAUUUCAAUUAUAGGGUGCCUGGAAAUGCCUCCAGAAGGUGCCUGAAGCUGUCCCAGCCCAUUUUACUGUAGUAGUAGCUAAGGCCGACUAUCUUAGAAAAUUUUCAUAGUCCAUCUAGUUGUAUAGGGCUGCUAGUCUGUAAUGGGCCACUAAGGACCCUUUCAAAUUUGUUUGUUUUGAAGGACUGCUUGAAUCUUGAGCUGGGGAAGGGGAACCUAUAAGCUG